rnacentral:sRNA from 1 species
GUCUAGCCCUGAUUGAAACGACAUCCUUUUUUUUAUUUUCGAAAAAAAGAUAUAGUGUAAAGCAGGAAAUAGC